ACGAGGGCUUCUUCUUAAUGUUAUUCAAAACCACGCCACCUAGCCUAUACUUCAUUUUGCGAACGAAAGAAUUGACAAACCCCAACCUUAUCUCCUUGAGAAACCCCUUCUUCGACAGACCUCGAGUCCUCUACGGCUCUACCCUCUCCCUCUCUCUUCUUCGACACAAGUCUCCCCCCUCUUCUUGACAAGCCCCAACCUUAUCUCCUCCAGAGAUCCCGACCCUAUCUCUUCUUCGACAAACCCCAACCAAAACUCUCUCUCUCUUCGACGAAUCCCGACCAAAACCAUCUCUGCCUCUAGAUUGAAAACCUCAUGGGUAGCCUAGAGAGAGCCCUAGAUUGGAAGCCAUCUCUUCUCCAAUUCUUCGAAUCUCUUUCUCUCACAGUCCAUUUUGGUCUCUCUACGUAGGAGCAGAAGAACCUGAAGGGUGAACUCCUUCGACCCCAUGAACGGGUGAAGAGGAUCCAGUCGGUGCCUAGCACAGAUGACGAACAACCUCAUUGCAGCGCUCUAGCUCCAAAGCCGAUCCCUCCCGAAAGUUUUCUCUGCAGAAGAGCGAAGGAUGUUGCAAAAUGUAGAGUGGAACAACUUUGCCCCUUCCCCUAUGACCUCAUCCAGCAAGAGCUGUAGCGAUAUCCUACUUAUGAAGCCUGCGUUCACCAUUCUACGUGAUAAAGAUUCAAAAUGCUUUCUUCUGUUGAUACGUGGUACACAUAGUAUCAAAGAUACACUAACUGCCGCAACUGGUGCAGUGGCCCCUUUCCACCAUUCGGUUUUUUGAUGAUGGUGGAAUAAGCAAGUUAGUCCUAGGAUAUGCUCACUGUGGGAUGGUGAAUCUCCUAAGUAUACAGUAAAGGGAGUGUUCAUCCUGAUACAAGUCAGACAUUCAAUCUAUCGCCGAGAAAGAGGUCGCCGAUACGCCCGGUGAGGAAUUCCAGUACCAAGCCGAGAACUGCAAUGGUUGGAGAGUGAACCUGUGUAAAGAUUGCAUUGACGGGUUUCUUGGUUUGAUUGAGAAGGACGGUUCUAAUGUGUUUGUAAAUUGGCCAAGUUUGUCGUGGUGGUUUUGUUCUAAAAACAAUGAUCCAGGUUUGAAGGCUGCUUAUAAACUGGACAAUCAUGUGGAAGAUGGAGCAGUGACGAAAGCUUUUGAACUGAUAGAGAGAAAUUUGUUUAGCUAGAAGUUGUACUGAGGCUAGAAGUUGGUCUUUUUUGGGUUGGCCUUAAUUGCAGUUCUCCUAUAGAUGUGAUUAUGUGACAUUUUUAGGUACAUUUCUGGAUGUAUUUUGCUAUAAGAGUUUCAAAGAUGUGAUCCCUUAUUUUGUGGAUACAAUUAGCAUUAUCGGAUCCAUUUAGAUUGCUAUGGGAUUAUAACAGCUUUCUA